GUGUCAGCCGCCGCGGUAAUACGUAGGUGGCAAGCGUUGUCCGGAUUUAUUGGGUUUAAAGGGUGCGUAGGUGGCCCUGUAAGUCAGUGGUGAAAUAUCUCAGCUUAACUGAGAGGGUGCCAUUGAUACUGCAGGGCUUGAGUACAGAUGAGGUAGGCGGAAUUGACGGUGUAGCGGUGAAAUGCAUAGAUAUCGUCAAGAACACCGAUAGCGAAGGCAGCUUACCAAGCUGUAACUGACACUGAGGCACGAAAGUGUGGGGAUCAAACAGGAUUAGAAACCCCCGUAGUCC
rnacentral:rRNA from 1 species